AGCGAACGCUGGCGGCAGGCCUAACACAUGCAAGUCGAACGAACUCUUCGGAGUUAGUGGCGGACGGGUGAGUAACACGUGGGAACGUGCCUUUUGGUUCGGAAUAACUCAGGGAAACUUGUGCUAAUACCGAAUGUGCCCUUCGGGGGAAAGAUUUAUCGCCAUUAGAGCGGCCCGCGUCUGAUUAGCUAGUUGGUGGGGUAACGGCUCACCAAGGCGACGAUCAGUAGCUGGUCUGAGAGGAUGACCAGCCACACUGGGACUGAGACACGGCCCAGACUCCUACGGGAGGCAGCAGUGGGGAAUCUUGCGCAAUGGGCGAAAGCCUGACGCAUCCAUGCCGCGUGAAUGAUGAAGGUCUUAGGAUUGUAAAAUUCUUUCACCGGGGACGAUCAUGACGGUACCCGGAGAAGAAGCCCCGGCUAACUUCGUG
rnacentral:rRNA from 1 species